rnacentral:rRNA from 1 species
AGUGAACGCUGGCGGUAGGCCUAACACAUGCAAGUCGAACGGCAGCACAGUAAGAGCUUGCUCUUACGGGUGGCGAGUGGCGGACGGGUGAGGAAUACAUCGGAAUCUACUUUUUCGUGGGGGAUAACGUAGGGAAACUUACGCUAAUACCGCAUACGACCUACGGGUGAAAGCAGGGGAUCUUCGGACCUUGCGCGAUUGAAUGAGCCGAUGUCGGAUUAGCUAGUUGGCGGGGUAAAGGCCCACCAAGACGACGAUCCGUAGCUGGUCUGAGAGGAUGAUCAGCCACACUGGAACUGAGACACGGUCCAGACUCCUACGGGAGGCAGCAGUGGGGAAUAUUGGACAAUGGGCGCAAGCCUGAUCCAGCCAUACCGCGUGGGUGAAGAAGGCCUUCGGGUUGUAAAGCCCUUUUGUUGGGAAAGAAAAGCAGAAGGUUAAUACCCCGCUGUUCUGACGGUACCCAAAGAAUAAGCACCGGCUAACUUCGUG